GUUUUCAUGUCACGUGACCACAUGACGUCACAUCAACUAACUGCUCGCGCUACCAGCCAGCAUUUUGCCAUCCGCCAUUAUCGCUUUGAGUGUGAAGAUGGUCCGUUGCCCAGGAAAUCUUUUUAGACAAGGUUGGAUUUUGUUCCCUGGAAAUUCCAGAAUUUUGCCCUAAUUGCUGAAUUUGAUCCUUUUGGAUGGGCAGACAUGGCAGUCAAAAGGCCAGCCAAGUUGCGUGAUAUUCUGAAUCCUGAUGACACCAGGAAGCUAGUUUUGCCUGGUGGAAUUCCAGAGUCAAUGGAGCAGCUUAUGGAUGAAGUUAGGAAAGUGUGUGGGUUAAAUGGCAAUUUCAGACUGCAGUACCAAGACAGAGACUUUGGAGAUGCACUAGUGAACUUGACAUCUACUGUGGAACUUGAGGAUUUGACAACUGUCAAGGUCAUCCCAAUAUCUGAUGUUAGAUGUUUUAUUGUGCUUUAUUGUGUUUAGUCUAAGUGUGAAGCUCUAAAUAUUGGAGAAAUUUGGAUACAGGAUGUUUUAUUGUGUUAGAUCUUGUAUUCAAAAACCUUUUUAAAACCAUUUUAUUUUAAUGUUUUUCCAUCUAUUGUUGAUAAAGGCUAUAAAGGCUAGUCUAACUGGCAGCAAAAGUCAUUUGGCU